rnacentral:rRNA from 1 species
AUUGAACGCUGGCGGCAUGCCUUACACAUGCAAGUCGAACGGCAGCACGGGUGCUUGCCCCUGGUGGCGAGUGGCGAACGGGUGAGUAAUACAUCGGAACAUGUCCUGUAGUGGGGGAUAGCCCGGCGAAAGCCGGAUUAAUACCGCAUACGAUCUACGGCUGAAAGCGGGGGACCUUCGGGCCUCGCGCUUUCGGGUUGGCCGAUGGCUGAUUAGCUAGUUGGUGGGGUAAAGGCCUACCAAGGCGACGAUCAGUAGCUGGUCUGAGAGGACGACCAGCCACACUGGGACUGAGACACGGCCCAGACUCCUACGGGAGGCAGCAGUGGGGAAUUUUGGACAAUGGGCGAAAGCCUGAUCCAGCAAUGCCGCGUGUGUGAAGAAGGCCUUCGGGUUGUAAAGCACUUUUGUCCGGAAAGAAAUCCUUGGCCCUAAUACGGUCGGGGGAUGACGGUACCGGAAGAAUAAGCACCGGCUAACUACGUG